GCAUGUCUGGCUAUGUGUAUUUGAAUGAGAGAGGAAGACAGGAAGUGACAGGCACCUCUCAAAAAGCCCUCCUGCCCAGUAGCAUGGCAUGAUUCCUUUCUGUCAUGAUUCCUUGGCAUGAAGUCUUUCUUGCCAGCUCCCCUCCCUUCCAACCCUCCCUCUCUUCUCUGCAAGCUGGGGGCCCCAGGGUGCCUCCAGCCUUCCUGUGCUGGACUAUUGAUUGGGAAUAGGGCUGCAGCUCACCUGCUAAUUGAAAGCCGAUUGGGGCCCUGGGGCAGAGCUGUAAAACAGGCCCCACGUGGCAUUAAAAACUGAAGGCUGACGGGCCACUGUAAAUCCAGAGCUGCUAAUAGUCAUGGUGUAUAUCCAUCUGUGUUAGAGCUGUAUGAGAGUGUGUGUGUGUGUGUAUGUGCCUGUCUUUGUGCUCUUCUAAACUAAGUAGCCACAUAUACAUAAUGGAUGUGUGAUAUGUGUGUGAACAUCUUAACUAGUGCCUAUUUGUAAGUGCAUGUGCAAGUAUAUACUACUGUACACGUGUUUGUGUUAGCACAUACAUUAAAAUGUGUGUGCAUGUUUGAGUGGUAACACUGGCAUAUUAUGCACAGGUGGUUCAUGGUAACAGCCUGGUUUCCCAUCGCACCAGGAGGACAGCCUUGCCUGUAAUGGACACAUCCUUCCUCUUUCUUCAAUCCUCCUGACAACAGAAGCAAACAGAAGCAUCUCUCCCUCCCUUCCUCUUCCUCGGUCUCUCUUUCUCUCCCAUCGUCUAGCUUUCUCUUCUGUCUUUGUCUCUGCACAAGUCACACCUGUGAUCCUUCACUGAGACAUCGGCUCUUGAGCUGAGCGUCAUUUUUUCUAAGCAUUUCUGUCUUUCUCAUUUUUUUCCAUAACUGCCUGUCUUUGUGUGUGUGUGUGUUUAUACCUGUUUGUGUGUGUGUGUGUGUGUGUGUAUGUGGCAGGUUCACAGUUGGUGUUCCAGUACAUCCCAAAUUUGUGUGAUGGAGCUGAGACCAUUUCCCUGUUUAGCAUCUGGCUCCUGGAGGAAGAAGAUGGAAAUGGGGAAAAAGAGAGAUGUGAUAGUUCCUGGCUGUACAGUGAAGCCGCUGAACCUCUCCUGCCACUUCCUGGGCACGCUUCUGAUGAAUAAGGGAGAGAAAAUAGAGACGAUGACAGCAGGGGAAAUAUUUGCUGUUGCGGUUGGAGUGCCACUCAGAUCCCAAGAAUGAGGGCCAGGCAUAUUUGCGCAGCUGUCCAUUUCCCAAGCGCCGAGUGCAUGAGUGUGGGCCCGCUGGAGACUAUUUGUUUGUCAAAGUCACUAUGGCUGCGAUCUGUAAGUUAUUUGUGCCUUUGGUUUUGAGUUACUCUAUAAGU
rnacentral:lncRNA from 1 species